rnacentral:lncRNA from 1 species
AUCCGUCACCUGACACGGCCCUACCAGGAACAGCCGCGCUCCCGCGGAUUCUGGUGCUGCUCGCGUCCCCGCUCCCCUAUUCCCCUUAUUUUAUUCCUGGCUCCCCUCGUCGAAAGUCUUCCAUUCUUCAAACUAGAUUAUUUAAAAAUGAAAAAGGAAGAAAGGAAAGCGAGGUCAUCUCAUUGCUCUAUCCGCCAAUCAGGAGGCUGAAUGUCAGUUUUGAACUAAAAGCCGCUCCGCUCCUCUUCUAGAUUUGGAAAACAAGCGAAAUUAAACUAAACCGCUGCACGCCUCUGACGCGACAUCUGGACACGGCGCGGCGCUGGCGCUGCCGGAGCUGUCGACCCGGCCUGGCGCCGGACUAGUGUCCCUUUUGAUGAGAAGAAUAAGCCUCAUUCUGAUUCAACAGCAGAGAUCAAAGAAAAGACUUCUGUUUUCUGGCCACCAGAUAUAUGUUAUCUGUGCUUAAAGAAUUGAAAAACACACAUCAAAGGAGAAUUUUCUUGGAAAGAGAGGGUUCAAGCAUCACUGUUAGGUGUGCUGGAAUCCUUUCCCGAGUCAGUACUGCUUUCUAGAAGAAAACCGGGGAGAUCUAUUUGGAAUGUAUCUAACUCCAAAGAAACCAUCAGAGGUAACAGGAUGAUUACGGAGCUAGGAAUUUCCUACGAAGCUGGGUGAUAAAAGGACAUUGGACAAAAACACAGAUAGCUUCAUUCUAUACCAGGAUCCAUCACUGAUUAGCUGUAUUAUAUUUGUCUCUACUGUAAUUUGAGGAGAAUGAUACCUGCUUCUCUAUCUUGUUGGGUUUUACAGAUGAUGUAUUGAAAGUUCAAUAAAAUCUAUAAACAAU